AAGCAGUGAUGAUAUUUCUGCGCAUAUUGUGGCAACUUUGGGGUCGCUACCAUCUUCUGAUCAUCCAGAAGAAAAUUGUGCAACUGAGCUU
rfam:Spinacia oleracea cultivar SynViroflay scaffold12683.con0006.1, whole genome shotgun sequence.